rnacentral:rRNA from 1 species
CCUGCCGGCGGGCACCGCUAUUGGAGUUCGCUUAAGCCAUGCGAGUCGAGAGGGGUAAGUCCUCGGCGCACUGCUCAGUAACACGCGGACAAUCUGCCCUCGAGACGGGGAUAAUCCCGGGAAACUGGGAAUAAUACCCGAUAGGUCUGGGAUGAUGGAAGGCUCCCUGGCCAAAAUCUUCCGGGGCUCGAGGAUGGGUCUGCGGCCUAUCAGGUCGUAGGGGGUUUUACGGACCCCCUAGCCGAAGACGGGUACGGGCUUUGGGAGAAGUCGCCCGGAGAUGGAUUCUGAGACACGAAUCCAGGUCCUACGGGACGCAGCAGGCGCGAAACCUCCACAAUGUGGGCAACCACGAUGGGGGAACUCCAAGCGCUUACACUUUUGUGUAAGCUGUUCUCGAGCCUAAAAAGCACGAGAAGUAAGGGCCGGGUAAGACGGGNUGCCAGCCGCCGCGGUAAUACCCGCGGCCCGAGUGGUGCUCAUUAUUAUUGAGCCUAAAGCGUCCGUAGCUGGCCGGGCAAAUCUCCGGGUAAUCGGGCCGCUCAACGGUCCGAUUCCGGAGAC